CAGUUAAAGCUCGUAGUUGAAUUUCUGGUCUCGGACAGCGGUCUGCCUCAAACGAGGUGCGCACCACCUGUUCAGGUCCAUCCUCGGAGAAAACAUGCCUGUGAUUCAGUUCAUGGGUAUGGGAUCUUCGUCAUUUACUGUGAGCAAAAUAGAGUGUUCAAAGCAGGCUUAUGCCGUUGAAUACAUUAGCAUGGAAUAAUAAAAUAAGACCUUGGUCUAUUUUGUUGGUUUGUACUCCAAGGUAAUGAUUAAUAGGGAUAGUUGGGGGUAUUCGUAUUCAAUUGUCAGAGGUGAAAUUCUUGGAUUUAUGGAAGACGAACUACUGCGAAAGCAUUUACCAAGGAUGUUUUCAUUAAUCAAGAACGAAAGUUAGGGGAUCGAAGAUGAUUAGAUACCAUCGUAGUCUUAACCAUAAACUAUGCCGACUAGGGAUUGGUGGACGUUCGUUAUGACUUCAUCAGCACCUUAUGAGAAAUCAAAGUCUUUGGGUUCCGGGGGGGAGUAUGGUCGCAAGGCUGAAACUUAAAGAAAAUGACGGAAGGGCACCACCAGGAGUGGGAGCCUGCGGCUUAAUUUGACUCAACACGGGGAAACUUACCAGGUCCAGACAUAGUGAGGGAUUGACAGAAUUGAUAGCUCCUUUCCUUGAUUCUAUUGGUUGUUGUGGCAAGGCCGUUCU
rnacentral:rRNA from 1 species